GAUGAACGCUGGCGGCGUACCUAAUACAUGCAAGUCGAGCGAACAGACGAGGAGCUUGCUCCUCUGACGUUAGCGGCGGACGGGUGAGUAACACGUGGAUAACCUACCUAUAAGACUGGGAUAACUUCGGGAAACCGGAGCUAAUACCGGAUAAUAUAUUGAACCGCAUGGUUCAAUAGUGAAAGACGGUUUUGCUGUCACUUAUAGAUGGAUCCGCGCCGCAUUAGCUAGUUGGUAAGGUAACGGCUUACCAAGGCGACGAUGCGUAGCCGACCUGAGAGGGUGAUCGGCCACACUGGAACUGAGACACGGUCCAGACUCCUACGGGAGGCAGCAGUAGGGAAUCUUCCGCAAUGGGCGAAAGCCUGACGGAGCAACGCCGCGUGAGUGAUGAAGGUCUUCGGAUCGUAAAACUCUGUUAUUAGGGAAGAACAAAUGUGUAAGUAACUAUGCACGUCUUGACGGUACCUAAUCAGAAAACCACGGCUAACUACGU
rnacentral:rRNA from 1 species